rnacentral:lncRNA from 1 species
UGACCCAAGAAAAAAGGUCUGAAAUGCAACAAGGAAUGAAAGGCUUACAUGGAAAUUUCUUCAAUGGCAGUGGUGAGGAGGAACAUGUGUAAAGAAGAUGAUCUGAACUAGGGGAAAUUUGGACACCGUUGGACACAGAAAGAAGACUGUUGAAGACACAGGGAGAAGAGCAUCAUCUACAAGCCAAGGAGAGGCCUCAGAAGAAAUCAACCCUGCUGACAUCUUGAUCGCCCUCUAGAAUUGUGAGAAAAUAAAUUUCUGUUGUUAAACCCC